AAGUCGUAACAAGGUUUCCGUAGGUGAACCUGCGGAAGGAUCAUUACCGAAGUACUUGUGAUGGUUUUUUUGUUGCUGCCUCCUUGGAGGAUUGUGCACGCCAUCCAAUCUUCUUACUUUACCACCUGUGCAUCUUUCAUGAACUGUGAAUGAAAAUCCCUCACAUUGCAAAAUGUGGAUUUGAGAGUUAUCCCUUUUAUUUGGGGGGUUGCUUUCAAUGUCUUCACUGGUUUAUGUUUUAUCAUAUACACCAUUAAAAUUUUUGAAUGUGUUUUAUGCUAUACAAUGCAUAUAAAAUUAAAUACAACUUUCAGCAACGGAUCUCUUGGCUCUC
rnacentral:misc_RNA from 1 species